ACAAGGGUUAGCUCUGAUAUCAUGUAAAGAAAAUGGAUAAGCCUUAAUUCAACCCCAAAAGGUAGCUCAAGGAGGAGGAUUGCCCAAGUCUUUACAGUCAGUACUUUUGUCUUAUAUCUGGUUAACAUGGUACAAUAUCAUAACGUCCCCAACCAUUGUUAAGCCUCCAAUGAGUGUUUCACGAUCCAACUAUUCAACCCUAGUUAUGAG
rnacentral:misc_RNA from 1 species